rnacentral:rRNA from 1 species
CCUACGGGAGGCUGCAGUCGAGAAUCAUUCACAAUGGGGGGAAACCCUGAUGGUGCGACGCCGCGUGGGGGAAUGAAGGUCUUCGGAUUGUAAACCCCUGCCAUGUGGGAGCAAAUGAAAAAGAUAGUACAACAAGAGGAAGAGACGGCUAACCCUGUGCCAGAAGCGGCGGUAAUACAGAGGUCUCAAGCGUUGUUCGGAACCACGGGGCGUAAAGCGUGCGUAGGCUGUUUCGUAGGUCGUGUGUGAAAGGCGCGGGCUCAACCCGCGGACGGCACAUGAUACUGCGAGACUAGAGUAAUGGAGGGGGAACCGGAAUUCUCGGUGUAGCAGUGAAAUGCGUAGAUAUCGAGAGGAACACUCGUGGCGAAGGCGGGUUCCUGGACAUUAACUGACGCUGAGGCACGAAGGCCAGGGGAGCGAAAGGGAUUAGAUACCCCUGUAGUC